AAGGGAGGAAACCAUCCUGCCACUGGGAAC
rnacentral:piRNA from 1 species